rnacentral:rRNA from 1 species
CCUACGGGAGGCAGCAGUGAGGAAUAUUGGUCAAUGGCCGGAAGGCUGAACCAGCCAUGCCGCGUGAAGGUCAGUGCCCUAUGGGCGUUAAACUUCUUUUGUGCGGGAGCAAUAAUGGUCACGUGUGGCCAGACGAGAGUACCGUACGAAUAAGCAUCGGCUAACUCCGUGCCAGCAGCCGCGGUAAUACAGGGGAUGCAAGCGUUAUCCGGGAUUAUUGGGUUUAAAGGGUGCGUAGGCUGGGAGGUGAGUCAGCGGGGAACUGCCCCCGCUCAACGGGGUGAAGUGCCAUUGAUACUGCCGUGCUGGAAUGCGGAUGCGGUAGGAGGAAUGUGUGGUGUAGCGGUGAAAUGCAUAGAUAUCACACAGAACACCGAUUGCGAAGGCAUCUCACGAAUCCGCGAUUGACGCUGAUGCACGAAAGCGUGGGUAUCAAACAGGAUUAGAUACCCCUGUAGUC